CACGUAGGGCGCAAGCGUUGUCCGGAAUUAUUGGGCGUAAAGAGCUCGUAGGCGGUUUGUCGCGUCUGCUGUGAAAACUCGGGGCUUAACUCCGGGCCUGCAGUGGGUACGGGCAGACUAGAGUGCGGUAGGGGAGACUGGAAUUCCUGGUGUGGCGGUGAAAUGCGCAGAUAUCAGGAGGAACACCGGUGGCGAAGGCGGGUCUCUGGGCCGUAACUGACGCUGAGGAGCGAAAGCGUGGGGAGCGAACAGG
rnacentral:rRNA from 1 species